GAUGAACGCUAGCGGCAGGCUUAAUACAUGCAAGUCGAGGGGCAGCGCGGGUAGCAAUACCUGGCGGCGACCGGCAAACGGGUGCGGAACACGUACAGAACCUUCCUUUAAGCGGGGGAUAGCCCAGAGAAAUUUGGAUUAAUACCCCAUAGUAUUGUUGGUUGGCAUCAAUUGACAAUUAAAGAUUUAUCACUUAAAGAUGGCUGUGCGGCUGAUUAGGUAGUUGGUGUGGGAACGGCCUACCAAGCCUUCGAUCAGUAACUGGUGUGAGAGCACGACCAGGUCACACGGGCACUGAGACACGGGCCCGACUCCUACGGGAGGCAGCAGUAAGGAAUAUUGGUCAAU
rnacentral:rRNA from 1 species